UCUUCUAAACCUUUGGUAUAGGUUCAAAUCCUAUUGGACGCAAUUUUUUACAUAUAUUUUUU
rnacentral:tRNA from 1 species